AUCGAUGGUAUCAAAAGCAGCACUAAGGUCUAGGAGCACGAGAACAGAUGCAGAGCCUCGGUCUGAUGCCAUUAAAAGGCCGGUGGUAGCUGGUCCACUGCAAGACGUUGAGGUGCGGGAGGUCCCUCUGCCCCCCCUGGACGUCAAGGGGGCUCCGGCGUACACUGUACCUGCAGUACCUCAUCGAUUGGGAGGGGUACGGUCUGGAGGAGAGGUGCUGGGUGCUGGUGGGGGACAUCUUGGACCCAUCUCUGCUGGGAAACUGAAAAGAUUUGGCAUGGGUUCCAGAUCCUCAAAGUUCUACAGCUGCACCAUCGAGAGCAUCCUGACCGGUUACGUCACCGCCUGGUAUGGAAACUGCUCGGCAUCCGACCGUAAGCUGCCAAAAGUAGUUUCACUGCCUAGUCUCCACCCAGGCCUGGCAGGACUCCCUGGCAUCAACCUGACACCUUGGGAGAAUUGGGCCUUUGGGCCUAGCGUGUGAAAGCAGAGGAGGUGUUGAUGGUCUGAUGUAACUGCCCUACAUCCAAGGGUACUCUACAGACAGUCGGCUUUCAGGGGUUAGUUUUAGCUUGGUCCCAGAUCUGUUUCUGCUCUCUUCUCAAACCUUAUGGAAUUCUCAUGUGAAGUUUGGCAUGACAAUGACAAUGGAGUAGGCAAAAGCAGAAACAGAUCUGGGACCAGGCUAAGCUAGUAUAGUAAAGUAGUGUUGCAGUGACAGAUGAUGAUGAGGAAUAUCAUAAUAUCCUCAUGGUUGACCGUAAGCUGUUGUCCACUUUGUUCUGAUUAGUGUACAUGUAUUGGAUUGUUGUGUUGUCAAGAUAAUAUUACAGAACACCUACUGUAUGAGACUGAUAGCAGCAACUUAUUCAGUAACGCAAAACAAUCACCCAAUUAAGGAACAAAACUGCACCCAUCUAUGACAAUACAUUGCUGAUCAAAUCAGGUUCUAUCCUCUUAUCUAAAAUGUAGGCUAGAUUUCUGUUCCAGGGUCUUUUUUUCAGUAGCUGGUGAACCGUCAGACAGCACAAAAGAUCCCCUCGACACUUUCCCUUUCUCCGCUACAAUAACACGUCUCACUCCGAACAUCAGACAGAUGGGUGAGGCAGGAGAUGCGUCAAACUAACAGCACUAUGCUAUUUAUACAAACACAGGCUGAACUAUUAUCACUGUUAUUUGGAGUGGAGUGGAAUGAGUUGUC
ensembl:lncRNA